UCAAAAACAUUGUCUUAUGAACUAUAUAUUAGAUAAUACCUGCCCAGUGACACUAAAUGUUCAACGGCCGCGGUAUCCUAACCGUGCAAAGGUAGCAUAAUCACUUGCCUAUUAAUUGUAGGCUAGAAUGAAAGGGUUAACGAAAUAAAAACUGUCUCAAUUAAUCAACUAAAAAUUAUUCUCUAUCUGAAGAAAGGUAGAUAAUCUCGAAGGACAAGAAGACCCUAUAGAGCUUGAUAUAAGCUAUAGAUUUACACUAUAAAAAUAUUCGGUUGGGGCGACCCAGGGCUAAUUAAUCACCCUACAUACAAAAGAUAAAUUAAUCAAUUAAAUGACCCUUUAAAGAUCAUAAAAUAAAGCUACCUUAGGGAUAACAGGCUAAUCCCACUCAAGAGUCCAUAUCAACAGUGGGGUUUGGCACCUCGAUGUUGGCUUAGGGUACCUAUACAGCGCAAAAGUUAUAUAAAGGUGGUUUGUUCAACCAAUAAUACCCUACGUGAUCUGAGU
rnacentral:rRNA from 1 species